AAGGUGGAAGGCUACAUCGUCAAAACAUGUCUGACUUCCGUUCGAAACGCCAUUGUGUUCCGGAUUGAUAACAUUAUGUCGUGGUACAAAAUAGCUAUACACCGUUUAAUUGAACUCUUCUAACUAAGGAGGUAAGAUAGGAAUGAAAUCACCAAAACGCUUAGAAAAUAUGUCAAUUUUCUUCCUGUUUAAAGCUUUUAACUAACAUUGAUUAUCAGCUGUUUUGUACGGAAAACGUGGAAUCUAAAUAAUAUACCGUUUCCCUGCUCUGCUGCUAUUGGCAAUACAUUUUUGUCAUGUCAUCUGCAACAGACGAUCAUACAUAUGUGGCGGAUUAUCGAUAUAGAUACAGCUAGGUAGCAAAAGCAGUGGAAGCCCAGAUUUGCAAGCCAAAUGAGGGAAAGACAGAAUUCUGAAAAAGGAGCAUGUUUUUUUCAUUUCCACACAUGCAUGUGUAUCACUAUGGACAUCUAAUGUUUUUGUGAGAUUUUGUCCAGCAGUUUGCCUUAAAAGAAUUUUUUUAUAUUUUAGUUUCAUAUUUAUGUGGAUUCCAAUAAAAAUCAUACAAACUUCAUUCAUGAUUUUUUUGUUUUUUAUUUCUAAACUUAAUAACAUUUCACUUUCAUAAGAAUUUUAAAACAGAAAUGUUUAAAAAUUUGAUAAAUAAGGGACUAUCUGGAACCAGACUGAUAUUUUAAAAAUUCUCUAGAAAAUAGUGUAUUGUAUUUUGAGGUCUAUUAUUGUUGAAUACUGUGCCUAGUAUUGGUAACAAAUGCAUGCAACAAAAAUCUCCUACACUUAUUUGGUGUAGAGAUCCACCUU